rnacentral:ncRNA from 2 species
UGUUCCUGUCGCGACUGGCGUUGAGAUGGGCAACCAUCGGGGAGCGGCAAUCUCCACCUCAGUGGGCCGUACGCCUGGGCCCACCGG